AAAUUUCUGAACAAUAUACAUAAACAGACUUUUUAUCAUCACAGCUUAAGCCUUCACUCUUUCAACAACUGGAUGAUGAUGAUGUCAGUUUUUUUUUGUGAAGUACUAGCACAUGUGAGGCAAUGUAUUUUAAUCUUGCUCCAAAUAUACACAUACACCUUAUAUUUUUCUUCAUGGCAACCACACAAUAGAACAAGCUUCCAGUUAUUCCUUUGAUAUUUAGAAAACACUAGUUUCUGUUGAUAAGGCAAAAGGCCAGUGGAAGAUAGUGCAGUUGACUAGAUUUACAAUCAUGAGCAACAUGACAAUUUAUAGCAAAAAGACUUUAUUAAUGUUGUGCUGCUGCUGAUUAUGACAUGACAGCUGAUUUUAAUUUAAGCAAGGUGACAAAUUUUUUUAUAAAUGUAGCUUCCAAUUUAUGGCCACGUCCAAAUAUAAUUUGUUUUUCAACAAGAAGUAGGUACAUGAUGCUUCCAUCCACAAUGCCAUGGAAAAAAAGGACUUGUCACAGGCACACAUUUGAUUUACAAAUAGAAUAUCAAUUUAAUCAAAAUUGAUUCCAUCACAUCAACAGUUUCCAGAUGGUUAAUGGUCCCUAUAGUGUCUUCAACAAAAAAUCACUUUGUAUGAAAAGCAUCAAAUACACCAAAGAGUUUCCAGAAUAACUUAACAAGAAGACCUAAAUAGAAGAUUGCAAUCCUUGAUACAGAAGAAUAAGUAAAGAGGUUUAAGACUUUCAAACUUUGGUUGGGUAGCACAAAAUUUACAAUGGCUGGAUAGUUCCCUACUUCCUACUCCUACUGAGACAUUUUAUAAAAAUCAAUUUUGAGUUCUGCAAUUCAAUAAAGUUCAUCAAAUACAUCUGUACAUAUAAUCAUCAAGAGAUCUAAUACUGCAAUGUUUGUUCUGACACUGCAAAACAGGUUUGAUGAAGUUACCCAAAUACCAGCAAGGUAAAGCAAUGACAAUGCAUCUUCAGCAAUGAGGCAUUCUGAUGCUUUUUCACAUUUUUUAUUCAUAAAGAAACCUUAGCAUUCAACAACUUGUCCAUACGCAAAAUUUUCAGUACAUUUACUUCACUCAUGAAACUGCCACACAAGCAUCUCUUAUUAUAAGGUCUAAGAGACACAAUGCUUAUAGCUUUUGCAAAUUGUAGCAGUAUUAGCCCCUUACAGAAACAAAGUAUUUUCAAGUUCUUUU